rnacentral:sRNA from 1 species
AAACCCCCGCCGAAUAGAGUGAUACGUUUGUAGAGUGUGCCUCCUCUACUGCUGGGAAAAUAAUGGAGGGAGCGGGCCUACCCUCUGCUGGUUCGCCUUCUGCCAGUUAUGGAUUUAUUUCCGAGCUACUUAACCACGAACCCACCUCGCUACCCUAACCCUUAGUAAAUCCAAAAUAAUGGGUGGCCGUGGUCUUUCCUUCUUAGCGACAGCUAAGCUAUGCAAAACUAAUGCCAACGGGCUCCCGCCCUGCCCGGUGAAAUCUUUCCACAUGUUGGCAUGGAAUAUGCAUAUACAUUUGAUAGCUUCGCUAUCGGAUUACUCGCACCCCGACAGGACACUCUAAGAGGGGUUGACCAUGGCCCCGUCGAUCUACUGCAACAAUGUGGUCUCUUUCCCCUGUGCAAUAUCCUUGUCAAGUUUGUUAACUCUCUCAAGCAACGCUUGAACAACGUUCACACUGUGAACAUCCUCCAUCUGAUAGAGAGCGAUACAUUCGAGGAUAGCUGCUACCUUGGCAUGUUGCCAUGCCGCAUGGGCUUGCAUCGGAUCGUCGAACGAUCCAAGGGUAGACUGCUUUCCAAGUGUCCUACACUGAGCAACGUAUACAGGCAUCCCGUACUUGUCAUAGCGUGCUAGGCGGACGCCUAGAGGGAUAUAGCUAUCCCACGUAUUGGCACGGUUAUUGCUUGUCUUGUCGCAGUUGGUGAAUAGAGUAUGCAUGUAUGUAGGUGUGAACUCGCAUGUAUGCGGAGCAUAGAGCUUGUUUCCCGGGUAGAGGAUAUUCCGGUCUAGGCGGUAGCCUACGGCGUACCCUGACACAUUCACCACCCAAUCAUAGAACGCUUCAAAGCCCGUCUUGGGCUUGGCCCAUUCCUUGCAUAUCUCAUCGCUUGCGAUGGCACGUUUACGCAUGGCGUAGUAGAUUUGCUUAGCGUAAUGGAUGUGAAUCUUGGCAUGAUUGUUGCUUGUCAUUGUGCCUCCUUGUGUGAAUGUUGGCUACUCGAUAGCGGCAGCUAUCAACCCUUUAGUUUAACGUAUUUGCUGGGCUGGAGUCAAUGUUUUCAGUGUCACUACUUCCGGUCGCAAAUAUAAUAGAGGUAGAGACUACACUUUGAAAGCUCCGCUUUCGAGGGUUACCCUUGUCAUGCUUAUGCAAUUCGUGUGCCAUGCAAAACGGGAUAGCGGAGCUAUCACAGGG